UACGGAGGGUGCAAGCGUUAUCCGGAUUCACUGGGUUUAAAGGGUGCGUAGGCGGACAGGUAAGUCAGUGGUGAAAUCUCCGAGCUUAACUCGGAAACUGCCUUUGAUACUCUCUGUCUUGAAUAUGGUGGAGGUAAGCGGAAUAUGUCAUGUAGCGGUGAAAUGCUUAGAUAUGACAUAGAAUACCAAUUGCGAAGGCAGCUGGCUACGCGAAUAUUGACACUCAGGCACGAAAGCGUGGGGAGCAAACAGG
rnacentral:rRNA from 1 species